UACGUAGGGGGCUAGCGUUGUCCGGAAUCAUUGGGCGUAAAGCGCGUGUAGGCGGUCCGGUAAGUCCGCUGUGAAAGUCGGGGGCUCAACCCUCGAAUGCCGGUGGAUACUGUCGGGCUAGAGUGCGGAAGAGGCGAGUGGAAUUCCUGGUGUAGCGGUGAAAUGCGCAGAUAUCAGGAGGAACACCAAUUGCGAAGGCAGCUCGCUGGGACGUUACUGACGCUGAGACGCGAAAGCGUGGGGAGCAGACAGG
rnacentral:rRNA from 1 species